rnacentral:rRNA from 1 species
GACGAACGCUGGCGGCGUGCUUAACACAUGCAAGUCGAACGGAAAGGCCCUGCUUUUGUGGGGUGCUCGAGUGGCGAACGGGUGAGUAACACGUGAGUAACCUGCCCUUGACUUUGGGAUAACUUCAGGAAACUGGGGCUAAUACCGGAUAGGAGCUCCUGCUGCAUGGUGGGGGUUGGAAAGUUUCGGCGGUUGGGGCUGGACUCGCGGCUUAUCAGCUGGUUGGUGGGGUAGUGGCUUACCAAGGCUGUGACGGGUAGCCGGCCUGAGAGGGUGACCGGCCACAUUGGGACUGAGAUACGGCCCAGACUCCUACGGGAGGCAGCAGUGGGGAAUAUUGCACAAUGGGCGGAAGCCUGAUGCAGCAACGCCGCGUGCGGGAUGACGGCCUUCGGGUUGUAAACCGCUUUCGCCUGUGACGAAGCGUGAGUGACGGUAAUGGGUAAAGAAGCACCGGCUAACUACGUG